AUACGUAGGGGGCGAGCGUUGUCCGGAAUGAUUGGGCGUAAAGGGCGCGUAGGCGGCCCGGUAAGUCUGGAGUGAAAGUCCUGUUUUUAAGAUGGGAAUUGCUUUGGAUACUGUCGGGCUUGAGUGCAGGAGAGGUAAGUGGAAUUCCCAGUGUAGCGGUGAAAUGCGUAGAUAUAUGGAGGAACACCAGUGGCGAAGGCGGCUCUCUGGUCUGUAACUGACGCUGAGGCUCGAAAGCGUGGGGAGCAAACAGGAUUAGAUACCCUGGUAGUCCACGCCGUAAACGAUGAGUGCUAAGUGUUGGAGGGUUUCCGCCCUUCAGUGCUGCAGCUAACGCAUUAAGCACUCCGCCUGGGGAGUACGGCCGCAAGGCUGAAACUCAAAGGAAUUGACGGGG
rnacentral:rRNA from 1 species